rnacentral:rRNA from 1 species
ACGGGAGGCAGCAGUGGGGAAUAUUGCACAAUGGGGGAAACCCUGAUGCAGCGACGCCGCGUGAGUGAAGAAGUAUUUCGGUAUGUAAAGCUCUAUCAGCAAGGAAGAAAAUGACGGUACUUGACUAAGAAGCCCCGGCUAACUACGUGCCAGCAGCCGCGGUAAUACGUAGGGGGCAAGCGUUAUCCGGAUUUACUGGGUGUAAAGGGCGUGUAGCCGGGAGAGCAAGUCAGAUGUGAAAUGCAUGGGCUUAACUCAUGAACUGCAUUUGAAACUGUUCUUCUUGAGUGCUGGAGGGGCAAUCGGAAUUCCUUGUGUAGCGGUGAAAUGCGUAGAUAUAAGGAGGAACACCAGUGGCGAAGGCGGAUUGCUGGACAGUAACUGACGGUGAGGCGCGAAAGUGUGGGGAGCAAACAGGAUUAGAUACCCUGGUA